CCGUCCCACCCCGCCUCGCCUGGACUGCAGCUGCUACCGGGGGCAGAUGCCUCCACCAGCCCCCCUAGUUCCGCCACUGCAUGUAUUGCCAUCUAUAUUCAGUCUCGGAUCUGCUCUAUUUUUGACUUCUCUUUAUGAAAUAAAUUACAUGUGAUGCUAGGUCUAGUCAAUACAAAAAUUUUGACAUAAUAUUUGCAUAAUUUGAAAUUAAAAUUAAAUAGUUACGACUUUCAACCUGUUUGACGGUUGUCUGAAUCGAAUUCACCCGGUUGAAAAUGACAUCCUUUUUGAGAUUUAGAAAAUCGUAGGGUUAGGGUUUUGUGUUGGCUGAGAAGGAGAAAGAUCCACGAAAAAUACGGAAUUGAUUGAUGAAUUGAAGAGGGGAGAAGAACAUGUGAGUGAUUACUCCAAUGAUACGUGACAAAACUCUUAAGAUCCGAGAACCAUAUUAGGGUAACAAGAGCCUUCUUGAGUGCUUCGGGUUAAGAGAAAAUCUUAAAUCUCCUAUCCUUCUAAUUGAAAAAAUUGAGAAGAUAAUUCUCAAAGUAAAAAAAUAAAUUAAAAGUUCAAUAUAUUAAUUCAUAUUUAGGGGGAAAAAAUUUAUCAUCAAAGUAGAAUUGUUAUUUGAAAUAGAAAAUUUAUCAGUUUCCUUUUUUCGGUAAUUAUUAAAGUAGUUGGACCACACACAUUCUUGACAAUGAUAACAAAAAUUGGGAUAAGGUCCAAAAAUGCCACUGACAUUUUCCCAAUUUUUACCGAGCACCCUAUACUUUUUUUUUAUUCAAAAAUACCCUUAACGUUAUUUUUUGGGUCAUUCGUGCCCCUACCAACUAGACAAAUGGAAUUGACAGUUAGACAUAUUUUGCUGACAUGUCAAAUAAUUAAAACAAAAAAUAUUAUUAUACCAUCUGAUGUGUAUAAAAAUAAUAUUUUAUAUAUAUUUGAUAAAUAUCCCCAAUAUUCUCUUCCACCACCAUCCGCCACCCAUCACCGCCGUCCGCCACCAAGUAAAAAUCAUUCCGUUUUAGAACAAUCGUGCUCCUCAAAUCAAACCCAGAAAACCCAAAAGGUUGAAGAUAAAACCGAGCCCUGUAACAGCAGAGCAGUCCAUCCAAGCCUCCAUAGGCACCAAAACUCAAUUAAAGGAAAACACUUUUGUCCAAGAACCAUCCGAACCAACAUAAAAUCAAUGAACAAAAAAGCAUCAGUUGAUAGGAAAUUAAAACAUUAAUCAACCGAAACAAAUAUAAAAAUAAACCCAGAUUCUGGCGAAAUCAAGUCAAAGAUCUGAGAAAAAAAUAAGCUUAACAAAACAUAUAAACCCAUCCCCAAAUAAGACACAGCAAACCCCAGACCAGAUCCAAAACAAACCAAAUCCAGACUGCUAGAGAAAACCUUAAAGAGAGAGAAAAUAGAUCUGAUGACUGAUAUGAAAAAGAAGAUUUGAAUGGGUUUAGAGAAGACCAACCAGCAACAGAGUUUCUGCAGUCUGUUCCGCUGCGGCGCCGCUCCUGUCUUCUUCUUCGCUGCAGGUUUGCUUUCUUUUUUUUUUCUUUUUUUUUUUAACAAUCUAUCAUUUAGGAAUUAGGGAUUUUAACUCUCUCUCUCUCAAUCUUCAGUCUAACAGUCUUCCGCCUAUCAAGUCUCACCUCUGCGUCUGCUCUGCAGUCUCUGCUCCUGCGGCUCAAUCUUCAGUCUUCCUUAGUCAUCCCUGUCGCUGUGUCGCAUUCUCUUUCCUCGGCUGGUGCUAGUAAGUUUUUUUUUUGUUGGUAAUUUAUAAGUAAUUCUUCAGUUGAUUAUUAAGUGUUACUAUUGUUUUUUUAAUUUUUUUUGGAGAACAGUGUUUUUGUGUCAAUGUGCGCAUGAGUGACUGAGUUUAAGUGUUCAUAUGAAAUUGAAUCUAAUUAUGUAAUGAAAAUAUAACUAAAAAUAUUGAAAUGAAAAUAUGGUGUUAUUGUGUUAGAGAUUGAAAUAUUGAAAUCAUUAAGUUCCUUGGAUGAUUGAAAUUUAGAAAACUACAUUCAAAAUAUUUGAACUUGCAGAUUGCUAAAUAUUACAUUUACACCCAAC
rnacentral:lncRNA from 1 species